rnacentral:rRNA from 1 species
AGGUUAACCGUAUAGGGGAGCCGUAGAGAAAUCGAGUCUUAAUAGGGCGUUUAGUUGCUGGGUAUAGACCCGAAACCAGGCGAUCUAUCCAUGAGCAGGUUGAAGGUUGGGUAACACUAACUGGAGGACCGAACCCACUGUCGUUGAAAAGCCAGGGGAUGACUUGUGGAUAGGGGGGAAAGGCUAAUCAAGCCUGGUGAUAGCUGGUUCUCCCCGAAAGCUAUUUAGGUAGCGCCUCGGACGAAUACCAUAGGGGGUAGAGCACUGUUUCGGCUAGGGGGUCAUCCCGACUUACCAAACCGAUGCAAACUCCGAAUACCUAUGAGUACUAUCCGGGAGACAGACUGCGGGUGCUAACGUCCGUAGUCAAGAGGAAAACAAUCCAGACCGCCAGCUAAGGCCCCAAAAUCAUAGUUAAGUGGGAAACGAUGUGGGAAGGCAUAGACAGCUAGGAGGUUGGCUUAGAAGCAGCCACCCUUUAAAGAAAGCGUAAUAGCUCACUAGUCGAGUCGGCCUGCGCGGAAGAUGUAACGGGGCUAAAACUAUGUGCCGAAGCUGCGGAUGUAUACUUUGUAUACGUGGUAGGGGAGCGUUCUGUAAGCCGAUGAAGGUGUGUUGAGAAGCAUGCUGGAGGUAUCAGAAGUGCGAAUGCUGACGUGAGUAACGACAAAACGGGUGAAAAACCCG